rnacentral:rRNA from 1 species
UACAGAGGUCUCAAGCGUUGUUCGGAUUCAUUGGGCGUAAAGGGUGCGUAGGCGGCGCGGUAAGUCGGGUGUGAAAUCUCGGAGCUUAACUCCGAAACUGCAUUCGAUACUGCCGUGCUUGAGGACUGGAGAGGAGACUGGAAUUUACGGUGUAGCAGUGAAAUGCGUAGAUAUCGUGAGGAAGACCAGUGGCGAAGGCGAAUCUCUGGACAGUUCCUGACGCUCAUGCACGAAGGCUAGGGGAGCAAACGGG